rnacentral:rRNA from 1 species
GUGCAGCAGUCGCGAAUUUUUCUCAAUGGGGGCAACCCUGAAGGAGCGACGCCGCGUGGAGGAUGAAGGCUUUCGGGUUGUAAACUCCUGUCAUUUGAGAACAAGUGGCCGAACCUAACUACUUCGGCCUUGAUAGUAUCAGAAGAGGAAGGGACGGCUAACUCUGUGCCAGCAGCCGCGGUAAUACAGAGGUCCCAAGCGUUGUUCGGAUUCAUUGGGCGUAAAGGGUGCGUAGGUGGCGCCGUCAGUGGGGUGUGAAAUUUCGGAGCUUAACUCCGAAACUGCAUUCCAUACUGCGGUGCUUGAGGACUGGAGAGGAGACUGGAAUUUACGGUGUAGCAGUGAAAUGCGUAGAGAUCGUAAGGAAGACCAGUGGCGAAGGCGGGUCUCUGGACAGUUCCUGACACUGAGGUACGAAGGCCAGGGGAGCAAACGGGAUUAGAUACCCGCGUAGU